rnacentral:rRNA from 1 species
UACGUAGGGGGCAAGCGUUGUCCGGAAUCAUUGGGCGUAAAGAGCGUGUAGGCGGCUUGGUAAGUCCGCUGUGAAAGUCCAGGGCUCAACCCUGGAAUGCCGGUGGAAACUGUCAGGCUCGAGUCCGGAAGAGGCGAGUGGAAUUCCCGGUGUAGCGGUGAAAUGUGUAGAGAUCGGGAGGAACACCGGUGGCGAAGGCGGGUCUCUGGGCAAUUCCUGACGCUGAGGCGCGAAAGCGUGGGGAGCAAACGGG